GCUUUCCUGGAUACAUCCCUAGACUUGGAGAUACACCAAGAAAGUUGAUUCUCACUCUUUUCUGCUACUGAACAGAGAGCAUGAAAAUGACCGUGCCCUUUUUGGAAUGUGUGUUCCAGAUGUUUCCCUUUCUUCCCCAAAGAAGAAGUUUUCAUUAAAAAUCGAACUGUUUAUUUGGCACUUUGGGGCAGCCCUUUUUUGAGGAAACCGCAGCAAUGGGUGGCUUUGGAACCCGAGUUCGAAGAAACCAGUGCAUUCUCCUGGUGCUCUUUCUUUUGCAAAUUCAGAGUCUGGGUCUGGACCUGGACAGUCGUCCUACGACUGAAGUCUGUGCCACACACACCAUUUCACCAGGACCCAAAGGAGAUGAUGGUGAAAAAGGAGAUCCAGGAGAGGAGGGGAAGCUUGGCAAAGUGGGACGCAUGGGACCAAAAGGAGUUAAGGGAGAAUUGGGUGAUGCAGGAGAUCAAGGCAAUAUUGGCAAGACUGGGCCCAUUGGGAAGAAGGGUGACAAAGGGGAAAAGGGUUUGCCUGGAAUACCUGGGGGAAAAGGCAAAGCAGGUACUGUUUGUGAUUGUGGAAGAUACCGAAAAGUUGUUGGACAACUAGACAUCAGUGUGGCCCGCCUUAAGACUUCAAUGAAGUUUGUUAAGAAUGUCAUAGCAGGGAUUAGGGAAACCGAAGAGAAAUUCUACUACCUCGUGCAGGAGGAGAAGAGCUACAGGGAAUCCCUGACCCACUGCCGCGCCCGGGGGGGAAUGCUGGCCAUGCCCAAGGACGAAGCUGCCAACACGCUGCUGGCUGACUACGUCUCCAAGAGUGGCUUCUUCCGGGUGUUCAUCGGGGUGAACGACCUUGAGAGGGAGGGUCAGUAUGUGUUCACAGAUAACACUCCCCUGCAGAACUACAGCAACUGGAAGGAGGGUGAGCCCAGCGACCCCUAUGGCCACGAGGACUGUGUGGAGAUGCUGAGCUCAGGGAGAUGGAAUGACACCGAGUGCCAUCUUACCAUGUACUUUGUCUGUGAAUUCAUCAAGAAGAAAAAGUAACUUCCCUCUCCCUACACAUUCAUCAUUUCCCUGUGACUAUCGCCGCUGUUAUUUUUAUCCAUCCUUUUCUAAUUACACUAAAUUCACUCUGACUCCAGGCAAGUGAGAAAUGCUAGACUAAAUUUUGGAAUCUUCAUCACCAUGCUUAUCCACGAUGAUUUUGAUCAUUUUCAUAAAUG
rnacentral:lncRNA from 1 species